GAAGUGAAGUGUUUGUUAAAGCAUUAAAUUAAAUCAGAGUCUAGAGUCGAGAGACUGAGCCACCAUGGAGCAUUGCGAAAAUGAGAAGGGUGAGCAGAGCAAGAGGAUCAUUGAAGAAGCGGGAAGACUAUCGCCAUCAGCACGAGCCACUUUGGAAAAAGUGAAACAGCGGUUUAUUGGAAAGCCUCUAAAGCCAGGGACCAGGUGUGUAAUGCUCGACAACUCUUUCCGUGGCUACGGCUGGCUGCUGCCUGGAUGGAUCGCCGAGGAGCGUCGCAUGCAAUCCGGCAGGAUCUAUAGAUACUACUAUGAUCCAGAAGGCCGUUUUUACAAAAGCCGACAUGAAGUGACUUAUGCAUGGGAACAAUCUGACUUUGUGGUUAUCGAUGAUUAAUCAAAUGAAGGUUGAACCCUAUGGCCAUGGAAUACUGGGAAUCAAGCAGCUAAGAAAUAAAGAACUGAGUCUGGGGGAUUUUAGUGUUUUAGUCUUAAAUGUAAUAAAAGAUCAAGCGACAGACUGUUUUUAGCUUGAAUAGACUGCAUCUUGGACAACCUAUAUUUUUCCUCUUUUAACAUGGCAUAUCUUAUUGUGCA